rnacentral:lncRNA from 1 species
CGUGGCUUCUGGAGUCUUCUAGAUGAUAGAAAAUUGGUGCACACGUUAAUAUCUCUCUGUAAACCCAACGUGUGGGCCUUUCCUCCUUAAUUCCUGAUAACCCCCUGCAGAAAUAGACAAACACCAAAACUCGUGGAAUUCUGUCAGAUAAAACCCUUAGUCUGGGUGUUGGUUGCAUUUGGAUCCUUUUCCAUGAUUAGUUGACGGUUAAAUGUGAGCAUUAAGGACCGUCAACAAGCUCCCCCAAGCUUAACCUUUGGUCGUCCCUGAGCAAAGCUAAAAUUAGCAAGAAAACAGGGGCUACUUUUAUGCCUCUUACUACAGGGUUUUUAAGUUAUUACUAAGGUCUUAAGUGAUUGAAAAACAGAACGAUCAAGUCAAGCACUAUGUCUCAAGUUCUUCUGUCUUACCUUUGUUCUGGAGUUUUUUGUAAGUUUCCAAAAUAAAACUGAGGCAUUUGCCUUCUUCUCGAAAGAUAUAUAAGUAGAGCUUUAAAAGUUUUAGCAUACUUACUUUGCAUUUUGCUAUGUCAAUGCUCGGAGCAAGGGAGAGGAAUGUCAUACUCCUAGAUCAAGACCUUUGACCUUUUUGAAAAGUUUGUCAUCUCUUACUGGCAUAUUGCUUAUUAGAGGGACCAUGGGCUAUCAUUUUUUCUUUCUUUUUUCAAUCUCUCUCUUUUUUUUCAAGUGGGCACCAAGUACCCCUAAUUCUACUAUCGGACACGUGUCCAUUUUUUCCACUUAGGUGGGUAUCUUUGUACCCCUAAUUCUACUUCGGACACUUGUCCAUUUUACCUCUCGUCUCACUCUCUUUUUUUAAUCAAAUUUUUUCAUAGUCCCAUGCCUCUAACGCAAUAAUACUUCAGAAGAGUGAAUCUUUUAUAUUUUUUAAAACAAAAAGAUCUUGAUCUUUGGAGCAUGACAAUUCUCUCAACCAAAACUACAAGAAUUAACAAUGGUUUGAACAAGCAAGUGCCCACAGUUUUAAUAUUUAUAUCUUAUAAGACUCUAGGUAUUAUGUCAAACAAAAUCUCCCUUUUUUUGAAUUUUUAGAUUUUCAAAAGAUAAAAUCUCCAGAACUCUAGCGAAACUUGGAACAAGUUAAAUAGUAGCUCAGACCUUCUCAUAUCAUGUUGUCAAUUACCUAGACUUGGAUCAAACUUUCUUUUUAUUUUAUUUAAAACUUAGGAUUACACAAAACUAUUGUAUAUUACUCAAAAGAAAAACUUUGUUUGGUUUCAUGGUUAUGCAUUUUUAUUUAUUUAUUUUCAAAUACCAGUAAAUAAAACCAAGAAAGAAAAGUAAUACUUAUCUAGAUACACGUGGGGGUGCCUCCCCCAAGCUGGAUGUUGACAUAGUCGUUCACUCUUGUGGCCUGCAUGUUCGGUCUCACUCUUCUUAAGCCUCAAAAUCCUGCACAACCCUAAUAGACAACAAAACUCGUGGAGCAUGUUAAGGGUUAGGUAAUUGUCUAGAGCUUAUGAGAGCUUAAUGUGAGAAUUCUAUGAACUCAGUCACAUCAAGUUACUCUACCAGGUUGUUUUGUGGCUCGAGAUAGAUUUUCAAGCGUUGGCCAUUUACCUUAAAAGUGUUACCAAUGUCGUUUUGGAUGGUAAUGGUUCCAUGAGUUGAAGUGUCAAUAACCUUGUAUGGUCCAUCCUACUUACUGUGGGGUAUUUUAAACGCAAACAGAAAAAUCCGCAAGCGCAUGAAUACCGAUGUAGCUUUCACCUAGAAGUAUUCUAGAGUAUCGAUUUUCCACAGGGAAUCUGAGUGUACUAAUUAAGAUUCAAGAUCGCCCAAGGAUAACUAUAUAAUUAUUUUUGGUGGGAAGAGAGGAAGUUUCCUGAGAGUUCUCUAGUUGAUCUAAGAAUCAAGAAUUACUUCAAAGAUUAUUUAUUUUGGGACAUCAGAACACUAACCACAGAAAGAGAUGAGAAGGGGGCUAGGAAGCUCUGACUACGGUCCUACAAACACCGAUCCGAACGAGGUGGAAUACGUCGACCGUUAGGGCUGUCACUACCCAAGGGCUACCAUAACAAUCCGUAGGAUUGGGUGCAAUUCCAAGUAAUUGCAAGACUAAACACCACGUCUAAUCUAUUAAUUACUACUCUAGCGUUUCAAAGACUAGAGCACUCGAUGCAAGCGGGAAUCCAAUAAAUAACUUGAAUGUAAAUAAAAGUAAUUAAAGAACUCAGGAAUUUUGAAUUGAAGAACUUGGAGAACGAUGAAGAACGAACCAGUUGCUGCAAAAGUACAAUGUUGAGGAAGAUCCGACAGAUCCGGCUCCUCCUCCGCUCUCCUCUUCUCUCUCCCUAUUUUCUAGAUUACAACUAGAACUAACUAGAACUAGAACUA